GACGAACGCUGGCGGCGUGCUUAACACAUGCAAGUCGAACGGAAAGGCCCUGCUUUUGUGGGGUGCUCGAGUGGCGAACGGGUGAGUAACACGUGAGUAACCUGCCCUUGACUUUGGGAUAACUUCAGGAAACUGGGGCUAAUACCGGAUAGGAGCUCCUGCUGCAUGGUGGGGGUUGGAAAGUUUCGGCGGUUGGGGAUGGACUCGCGGCUUAUCAGCUUGUUGGUGGGGUAGUGGCUUACCAAGGCUUUGACGGGUAGCCGGCCUGAGAGGGUGACCGGCGACAUUGGGACUGAGAGAGGGCCCAGACUGCUACGGGAGGCAGCAGUGGGGAAUAUUGCACAGUGGGCGGAAGCCUGAUGCAGCAACGCCGCGUGCGGGAUGACGGCCUUCGGGUUGUAAACCGCUUUCGCCUGUGACGAAGCGUGAGUGACGGUAAUGGGUAAAGAAGCACCGGCUAACUACGUG
rnacentral:rRNA from 1 species